rnacentral:lncRNA from 1 species
CCCGACGACAAACGCAUAUAAUCCACCGCAGCGCCUGAAAGCACAGGACAAAUAAACAAGGCCCGGCAACUUCCCAUUGCUCGCUGUUGACAUUUCACGACGGUCGAGCGAGCGAGCGAGCGGGCGAGAGCGAGGAAGUGUCUACGUGACUAAGUGAACGCUCGCGCCCGCGUCCUAUGUCGCCGCCACCGAGGGGGGAGAAUGCUCUGACCGAGUUCGCGGGCCUCGGAAAAGCGUGUUCGUUUUUCUUUCUCGUCUUGAUCGUCACCAUUGGCAUUGUUGCUGCGUUUUGAAUAAAGUAACGAGGACAAGAUAGGGUUGCAAUUUCUCUCGCGGCUGCCGUGGGUGUGCGAAGCGAAGCGGCUGCAGAUAAAAUAUUGGGGUGUGAGAGUUCGGUUCGCAUGGCGUUGUUGAUCAGACGAACCCUUAUAUAAUUUUGUCGCAGCAUGCAAUCAUUAAGAAGAAAACUCACGUCCCAUCCACUUCGCAUAAUAUCAACGACCCACGGAAUGUUUAAUACAUGUCAGUGACUAACACCAACGAAGCUUUAAGAACCGACAGGAAGUAGUGAUGGCGAAGUUGCAGGGAAACGUUCAAUGCAACGAACUUGAAGGUCUUGUUGUGGCGCCAAGGACAUCCAAGUUUUUCCAGAUUUCCCGAACCUUUCUAGACCUAGGAAAAUAAAGCCGCCAUUGAUGAUAACCAAGGAACAUCUUACGAACAGAUCACAAUUAGUAAGGAUCAAGAAGGUUACAUCUGCUCCAAGAACUGUUCGUCUCUCUCGGUGUCCCCCAGGGAUCGGCGCUGGGUCCGAUUCUAUUUUCUUUUUAUGUGAUUGGUAUAUCCGAGGGCUCACAAGACUGCCUCGUAGUUCAGUGUGCAGAUGACACUCAUUUACUUCUUACUGGAGUUAAUUGAAAGAGCAGAAAGUCUUUUGUCGACUCUCAAAUUAUACUUUAAAAAGAUUACGAUACUGAUGACAGAUAAGAAGACUCAAUGAUAAUGUUUAAAUUCUAGUGGGAAUAUAAUUUAAGAAUUAGGGAGGUUAUUUUGAUCAAGAUACUUUUUAAUACACAUAUAGAAGAAAUGUACAGAUAGGUAAAUGACACACUUCUUUAUCUCAACAAAAUAGGUAAUUGCUUUGAUACUCACACACGAAUCACUGCUGUGCAAUCGCUCAACUAUUGCUCAAGAGUCUGGUAAGUCACAAAUAAAACCGAAAUAGAAAGAGUUCAGAAACUCCAAAAUUUCGCGGCAAGAGUCGCCUUUGGGGGUUAAGAAAGUACGACCAUGUACCCCCCGUUUUCAAGCAACUAGCAUAGUUAAGAGUUGAUAACACAUCUUUACAUGACAUGGCCAUUUUAGUUUUUAAGAUAUCAAAUCAUCAUUUAACACCUUCACUUUUACCGAAAUAAGAGGCACAGUUACGAGACAAAGCAAUGGCCUAUUUGUUGCACGAACCAAUACUACAGCUGGAUCAAAACUUUUAAUGGUUAGAGGCCCAUUAGUCUGGAACAGGAUUCCAUCUCAGGUUAAAUGCUGCCUCUCGUUCUGUGUUCAAAGACAGAUUAAAGAACUUUCUUUUAUGUGAACAGAAUCAGUCGUCACUCUAAUAUGGCAUCUGCAAAUGCUAGUGAAUUAUGUUCUAAUGUGCUGAUUUGAUUGUUUAAUUUCUGCUUUAUUGUAUAUUGCUGUUUAUAAUAUGUUUGUUUCAUACCAGUAUGGCGGAGUGAUACUGGAUGAUUGUAUAAUUUGUAUUAUAAUAUGUAUUCUAAAAUUCCUUUAUAAAUAUCAUUGUAAAGAAUACUCAUUUGGAAAAUGGAAAUAAAGAUUACCAUUAUUAU